UGAAAAAUGAAAGAAGCCAUCUGAUUGGUUGCUAUGGGCAACUGGGCAAGUUUUCCUCUGCACAGACCAUAGAAAAACCACUGAGGCCUGACCAUCUAAGGAACAAGCUGGUGGAGGCGGUCCCAGGUUUUUGAUUCUUCUUGGGGCCCAAUGGCCUCACAUUGCACAAACUAUUCUAAAUUCUAAAUAAUUUUCGCACUAAGGCAGGGUGCAUUAGCCUGCUGAAAGAGAACCCCUGCCAAUGCUGUUGCCAUGAAGGAGCAUACCUGGUCUGGAAAAAUAUUUUCAGGAUAACACGGUGACGCCAUCCCACCAACCCCAUGACGAAUGACAGUAUGGGAAAAAUGUCUGCCAUGGGAGGCCCAGCUGACCUCUACGUGCACUGCUGCCCUACAUAUUCAAUGUUCCGAACAGAUUUUGGAUGGAAAUUUUAGUGUUAUUAAAUUGUGGCUUGGAAGAUUCUUUUCCAGGGAUACUUUGAAGUGCACCGAGACAAAUAUGUAUUCUGAAAUUGUUAUUAAAACUGUU